rnacentral:tRNA from 1 species
GGUAAGAUGGCUGAAUAUUAAGCGGUGGAUUGUAACCCCACAUAUAGAGGAUAAAGGCCUCUUCUUAUCA